rnacentral:rRNA from 1 species
CCUACGGGAGGCAGCAGCUAGGAAUCUUGGGAAUGGGCGAAAGCCUGACCCAGCAACGCCGCGUGGGCGAUGAAGGCCUUCGGGUCGUAAAGCCCUUUUGUGGGGGAAGAUGAUGACGGUACCCCACGAAUAAGCCACGGCUAACUACGUGCCAGCAGCCGCGGUAAUACGUAGGUGGCAAGCGUUGUCCGGAUUUACUGGGCGUAAAGGGCGUGCAGGCGGUCCGUUAAGUUCGAGGUGAAAGCUCCCGGCUCAACUGGGAGAGGUCCCCGGAUACUGGCGGACUUGAGGGAGGCAGAGGAAAGUGGAAUUCCCGGUGUAGUGGUGAUAUGCGUAGAUAUCGGGAGGAACACCAGUGGCGAAGGCGGCUUUCUGGGCCUUACCUGACGCUGAGACGCGAAAGCGUGGGGAGCGAACCGGAUUAGAUACCCCUGUAGUC